AUUGAACGCUGGCGGCGUGCUUAACACAUGCAAGUCGAUCGGUAACAGGUGUAGCAAUACAUGCUGACGAGAGGCGGACGGGUGAGUAAUGCUUGGGAAUCUGCCUAUUAGUGGGGGACAACCCGGGGAAACUCGGGCUAAUACCGCAUACGCUCUACGGAGGAAAGCCGGGGACCGCAAGGCCUGGCGCUAAUAGAUGAGCCCAAGUCGGAUUAGCUAGUUGGUAGGGUAACGGCCUACCAAGGCGACGAUCCGUAGCUGGUCUGAGAGGACGACCAGCCACACCGGAACUGAGACACGGCCCAGACUCCUACGGGAGGCAGCAGUGGGGAAUAUUGGACAAUGGGCGAAAGCCUGAUCCAGCGAUGCCGCGUGUGUGAAGAAGGCCUGCGGGUUGUAAAGCACUUUCAGUAGGGAAGAAAAGCCGAGUGCCAAUACCACUCGGUCUUGACGUUACCUAAAGAAGAAG
rnacentral:rRNA from 1 species